CCCGCCUCGGCCCGGCCGGCUCCCAGACGAGCACGUGCUAUGCGCGGCCCCCCGCGCCCCCGCCUCGGGCGCCACGCAGGCAGCGCUCCCGGCGGGGCGCCCCGCUCUGCGCCGUUCCCUCCGCCGUCGCCCAGCCACCGCCUUUCGCACGCGCCGGAACCGCUUUUGUGGUCUCCGAGACACUCAUUUGCUGUCCUGGUUUCCAAAGCUCCACGUGCUCAGCGCCGAAAACUUGCAAAUCAUUUGCUCAGGUCUAUACUGGGCGCCCGCUGCGUGCCAGGUACUGCCACCGGCUCUCUCCUCACGGUGGAAUAACUUAACAGAGAAGACAGACAUCAAUCAAAUACCCUGGAAACGUGGAAGGCAGGGGAAAGAACAAAGGGAGAGCAAAAUCGCCCCAAUCCCACAUCACCCGCGACGUGAAAGGAUUUGUCCUUCCAGCUGCGGGACUCCUAUUUGUUUAUUUCAAGUCAGAGGCCUUCCCUUUAUGCCCACAUCUGUUCCCGACCCUCUCCUCUGAUUUUCCUCACAUGUAUUUCCUCCCCUCUUCAGCCCCGCGCCAGCUCCAGGCACAGCCGUUCAGGGUGAUGCCAAAGGGAAAUGAGAACGCCUGGUUUCGAGUGCCAGCCUGAGGCCCCUUAAGCCCUAGUGACCAAAACAAGCCACAUGACAAUCUGUCUUCAAGGGGACAGACAGUGCAAGUCUGUCACUGGUUUCUGAAGACAACAAGGUAUCAGUACAGCAUUCUUUAUACCAGAAUUAUACAAAGACUCUGAAAAUAUUGUGUGCAGCAUUGGGGGUACGAGGGUGAGCAAAACAGACAUGAACCCAGCCCCCUGGGAGCUUACCAUCUCAUGGGAAGAUGCACAUGAAUCAAAUAAUCAUACAACUUUAUAAUUACAGAAGAUAAAUUUAGGGUCACUAUGAGAGAGCAUAUGAGGAAACCUGAAGCUUUCCUUACAGUUCUGGAAUAUGGGAUGAGAGCUGAAGGUUAUGCAGAAUUUAACUGAGGUGAAGAAUGAAACAGGGCUGGGUGCAGUGGCUCAUGCCUGUAAUCCCAACACUUUGGAACGCCGAGAGAGGAGGAUCG
rnacentral:lncRNA from 1 species